rnacentral:rRNA from 1 species
AUGACAAGUGACAAGGGAAGGACUUCAAAGAAGGCCGCUGAGGGUUCACCCUCUGCUUUGGCUGUGCCUGAUGGAAGAGCCAGCAGUGGACCACAGAAGGGGCGGUUGUCCAAUGGGAGGACAACGGGUCCAGCAAGGCGCUCGACCAAAGGAAAUUGGACCCUGGAAGAGGACGAUAUACUUCGGAAGGCUGUUGAAAUCCACAAUGGGAAAAAUUGGAAAAAGAUAGCUGAGUGUUUUCCUGAUAGGACUGACGUUCAAUGCUUGCAUAGGUGGCAGAAGGUUUUGAAUCCUGAGCUAGUCAAAGGGCCAUGGUCUAAAGAAGAAGAUGACGUCAUUAUUCAGAUGGUAAAGAAAUAUGGACCCACGAAAUGGUCAACCAUCGCCCAAGCUUUGCCAGGACGCAUUGGGAAGCAAUGUCGGGAAAGGUGGCACAAUCACCUUAAUCCUGGUAUAAACAAAGAUGCAUGGACACAAGAAGAGGAGAUAAGGCUCAUUCAGGCUCAUCACAUAUACGGAAACAAAUGGGCUGAACUUUCAAAAUUUCUACCAGGAAGGACGGACAAUGCAAUAAAAAAUCAUUGGCACAGCUCAGUUAAGAAGAAAUAUGAAUCAUAUAGAGCAGAAGGAUUACUGGCUCAGUUCCAGGGCCUACCAGCUGUUGUAUGUCCUACAGGGAGUCUAAAUGUUGAUUCAUCAUCUGCAAUGAUGCAGCAAAACAGUGAUGGCAGUGGUUUGAAUGUUAAUCAGGAGGUACAAGAUUCCUCGGAGUUUAGCCAAUCAGCAUUGGCUAAUAUUUCUUCUUCUCAAGUGGAGCAAGUUGAUGAGCCUGUGGGCUGUCAUGGGCAAAUACAUUCCAAUGAUGGAGCACAUGACUCUUACUCUUCAUGUCAGGAAGCAUGCCAUACUAAAGCCAACGAUGCUGCCUCUACUUCACCAGAGACUCGUCACCAGUUGUCGAUCUCUGAAAAUGAUCCAGAUAUACACUGGCAGCAAGACCUUUCUGUAGCCGACUUCGAUCUUCAGUCAGAACUGUGGCAGGAUAUUUCUUAUCAGAGUCUUCUUACUGCACCAGACUCCAUCAAUGCUGUUUCUUUCUUCAGCCCAAAUUACCAGCAUAGUGCAUGCUCAUCUGAAGUUGCGAACAAUUUUGAAGAACGGCUUUAUCCAUUGCAUACAUACUCAUCAAGCAGGACAGGCACUGUGCAUCAUCAAAGUUCUGCAACAUCAGUACCUCCAUCCUUUCUUUGUUCAGGCCGUGCUAGCCAGAUUGUUUCCAGUGAACUGCCUAUAGUACCAGAAUCCAAAGAGCAACAGAUGACAAUCACAACCUUUGGAAUCUACAACCAUGGGAAGAGAAGCGUCACCAAACCAGGUAAAUCCGUGGUAGGACAAAAGCAGCAUUCAGAAGCUUUAUGCUAUGAACCUCCUUGCUUUCCAAGCCUCGAAGUUCCAUUUGUCAGCUGUGAGCUCAUAAGCUCGAGUGACCUGCCAGAAUAUAGUCCUCUUGGCAUUCGACAGUUGAUGAGGCCAUCCAUGAGCUUCUCCACUCCACUAAGAUUAUGGAGCUCCCCUACACGUGAUAGGAGUCCUGAUGAUGUGCUGAAAAGUGCUGCCAAAAGUUCUGCAUGCACACCGUCGAUAAUGAAGAAGCGGCAGAGAGAGCCCCCUUCUCCUAUUCCAGAUGUAUCCGCAGGGAUUCUUACUGAUAGGAAUUGUCCAAAUCCAGAACGUCGGAAGCUAAAUACCCCUACAAAAUCUUUUUCUAAAGACAUAAUAUCUUCUCGAUCAAAACCAACAGAACUUCUCGUUGAAAAAUCUUCAGUGUAUAUCAAUGCUGAUUAUGAGUAUGUAAACAUAUUGGCUGAUACCCCAGGAAUCAAAAGAGGGUUAGAAUCUCCUUCUGCAUGGAAGUCUCCUUUGUUCACAAACUUCCAGGAUGGGUUCUUCAUGAGCCCAACAGGCACAACUUUCGAUGCUCUAGGAUUGGUGAAGCAAAUAAAUGAGCAGAACGCUCCAGCUCUGGAGGAAGCGCAUGAACUACUGGAAAGUGGGAGCCGAUGUAACAUGGAAAGCUCUGAUAAGGAAAACAUAAAGCAUAUUGUUAUCAAGAAGGAACAUGUUACAACGAAUCAGAUAUCCAAUGUCAUGUCGGAAGCUAGGAUUCUUGAUUUCAACGAGUGCGCCACACCUGUGAAGAAGAAAGAAGACAACAGAUGCAACACUUUAGGAAGAUCUCCAACUUCCUCUUAUGUCUUGAAGAAUGUGCGGUAG